rnacentral:rRNA from 1 species
GACGAACGCUGGCGGCGUGCUUAACACAUGCAAGUCGAGCGGUAAGGCCCUUUUGGGGGUACACGAGCGGCGAACGGGUGAGUAACACGUGGGUGACCUGCCCUCAGCUCUGGGAUAAGCCUGGGAAACUGGGUCUAAUACUGGAUAUGACCUUUCCUCGCAUGGGGUUGGGUGGAAAGUUUUUCGGCUGGGGAUGGGCCCGCGGCCUAUCAGCUUGUUGGUGGGGUGAUGGCCUACCAAGGCGACGACGGGUAGCCGGCCUGAGAGGCGACCGGCCACACUGGGACUGAGACACGGCCCAGACUCCUACGGGAGGCAGCAGUGGGGAAUAUUGCGCAAUGGGCGGAAGCCUGACGCAGCGACGCCGCGUGGGGGACGACGGCCUU